AGUGGGAUAGCUGGGUCAAAUGGUUGUUUCCAAGGUUUUUGAGGAAUCUCCAUACUGCUUUCCAUAGUGUUUGCACCAAUUUGAAGUCCCAUCAGCAGU
rnacentral:pre_miRNA from 1 species